UUCCUCUAUAUUAACCCUUCACCUCCCUUCUUCCACCCAACGGCGAUCCCAGAAGUCUCCCGCCUUCUCAAAUCCCCCUUCUAUCAGGACAAAGUCGGUGGUAUUUUUUGGAAGAAGGGAUACCAAGAAGAGAGGGAUACCCACUGUUUGAUCUUAGGAAGAAAGGUUGCUACUGAUACUGUUGUGCUAUGUCUCUUCUAAACAGUCUUCGUUUAGAGGUUAUGCUUUGGUGAUGGAUUACUUAGCUAUGCUCUUCUUGAUUCCCGUCCUAUCAAGCUUGACUUCUUGGUCGCCUGGGUUUUAACCAUUUUGUGGUGUCUGGCAUUAACUAGAAUAGGGGCAUGGUGCUGAGUUCUAAAACCUUUGUAAAUUUCUUGGUGUAAUAGGAGAUUUACAAGAUUGUUUGGAUUCUUCUUCAUGCCUGAAUUAGACCAUUUGGAAUCUGAAUGAUGUUUUCUCUCAAAGCUUACAUUUGCAUUGUUAAAGAUUACUUUUAA